rnacentral:rRNA from 1 species
CGUGAAGCUGGAUUCGCUAGUAAUCGCGCAUCAGCCAUGGCGCGGUGAAUACGUUCCCGGGCCUUGUACACACCGCCCGUCAAGCCAUGAAAGCCGGGGGUACCUGAAGUACGUAACCGCAAGGAGCGUCCUAGGGUAAAACUGGUAAUUGGGGCUAAGUCGUAACAAGGUACC